rnacentral:rRNA from 1 species
AAUCCAUAGGUUAAUGAGGCGAACCGGGGGAACUGAAACAUCUAAGUACCCCGAGGAAAAGAAAUCAACCGAGAUUCCCCCAGUAGCGGCGAGCGAACGGGGAGGAGCCCAGAGCCUGAAUCAGCAUGUGUGUUAGUGGAAGCGUCUGGAAAGGCGCGCGAUACAGGGUGACAGCCCCGUACACAAAAGCGCAUGUGCUGUGAGCUCGAUGAGUAGGGCGGGACACGUGGUAUCCUGUCUGAAUAUGGGGGGACCAUCCUCCAAGGCUAAAUACUCCUGACUGACCGAUAGUGAACCAGUACCGUGAGGGAAAGGCGAAAAGAACCCCGGCGAGGGGAGUGAAAAAGAACCUGAAACCGUGUACGUACAAGCAGUGGGAGCACCCUUUGGGUGUGACUGCGUACCUUUUGUAUAAUGGGUCAGCGACUUAUAUUCUGUAGCAAGGUUAACCGAAUAGGGGAGCCGGAGGGAAACCGAGUCUUAACCGGGCGUUAAGUUGCAGGGUAUAGACCCGAAACCCGGUGAUCUAGCCAUGGGCAGGUUGAAGGUUGGGUAACACUAACUGGAGGACCGAACCGACUAAUGUUGAAAAAUUAGCGGAUGACCUGUGGCUGGGGGUGAAAGGCCAAUCAAACCGGGAGAUAGCUGGUUCUCCCCGAAAGCUAUUUAGGUAGCGCCUCGUGAAUUCAUCUCCGGGGGUAGAGCACUGUUUCGGCUAGGGGGCCAUCCCGGCUUACCAACCCGAUGCAAACUGCGAAUACCGGAGAAUGUUAUCACGGGAGACACACGGCGGGUGCUAACGUCCGUCGUGAAGAGGGAAACAACCCAGACCGCCAGCUAAGGUCCCAAAGUCAUGGUUAAGUGGGAAACGAUGUGGGAAGGCCCAGACAGCCAGGAUGUUGGCUUAGAAGCAGCCAUCAUUUAAAGAAAGCGUAAUAGCUCACUGGUCGAGUCGGCCUGCGCGGAAGAUGUAACGGGGCUAAACCAUGCACCGA